CGCACAUUGCGCCCCUUGGUAUUCCGAGGGGCAUGCCUGUUCGAGCGUCAUUACACCACUCAAGCUCUGCUUGGUAUUAGGCGUCCGUCUGUCUGAAAAGGCAGGCGCGCCCCAAAACCUUCGGCGAAGUCUUACCGACUUUGGGCGCAGUAGAAUUUCUAACAACGCUCUUUGGGUCGGUACGGUCUUUUGCCGCUAAAUUGAAUUUAUUCAUUUUUCUUAGGUUGACCUCGGAUCAGGUAGGGAUACCCGCUGAACUUAA
rnacentral:misc_RNA from 1 species